rnacentral:rRNA from 1 species
AGAGCGAACGCUGGCGGCAGGCUUAACACAUGCAAGUCGAGCGGGCGUAGCAAUACGUCAGCGGCAGACGGGUGAGUAACGCGUGGGAACGUACCUUUUGGUUCGGAACAACACAGGGAAACUUGUGCUAAUACCGGAUAAGCCCUUACGGGGAAAGAUUUAUCGCCGAAAGAUCGGCCCGCGUCUGAUUAGCUAGUUGGUGAGGUAACGGCUCACCAAGGCGACGAUCAGUAGCUGGUCUGAGAGGAUGAUCAGCCACAUUGGGACUGAGACACGGCCCAAACUCCUACGGGAGGCAGCAGUGGGGAAUAUUGGACAAUGGGCGCAAGCCUGAUCCAGCCAUGCCGCGUGAGUGAUGAAGGCCCUAGGGUUGUAAAGCUCUUUGUGCGGGAAGAUAAUGACGGUACCGCAAGAAUAAGCCCCGGCUAACUUCGUGCCAGCAGCCGC